CCUUGGAGGGAGCAGGGGAAAAUAGUACCUCCAGAGGCUGCUGAGAUCCCAGUUUGUCUGGACUGGCCUUGGGAGGUGCCCAUUUCUAUCCUCUGACUAUAGCAAAAGCUUCUGCUUUCUUUAUUUAGGGGGAAGGAAGGUAGGUUCAAGCUGUGAGGUCAGAGGGCAGCUAGAUGUUUCUACCUUGUUAUCAUACAGAAUGGUUUGUUGGUGCAGCACCCACCCAGGUUUCAGUGUUUGUCCAGGUUUGUUUGGGAAUUGCCUCACCAAGUCAAGUGCUCGUGACAUUUGUAAAGAUGAGGUUGGUGCCUUCACAUCUGUGGCAGAGGCUGGAAACUGUGAUUGCAGAAAGAUCUCAGGGCAGACAGGCAUUAACCUCUAGGGUGUUACUGGUUAAUAAUGUCCCACAUACGGCAAGAGAGAAAAAACAUCAGGAAUAAAAUCCAGUAACCCUGUCAGAGAAAACAGAAGAAACCAAUACAAAACAUUUCCAGAUGAAUGGUUUUGUGUCCUGUCUAAGAAGCCAGAAAGUCUAUGCAUCCCAUCUGAGAAGCUACUGGUCUUCUCAUCAGCCAGCCUGGGCAUCUAUUCAAAUGUAUAUGUAUUUAAUUUUCUCACAUGCACUGGAGGAAUCUCAGCUGGAAAAAUCAGCCAGACAACUCCCCCUGUGUCCGAAUCAGCAGCACAAGGAUUUGUGGUUAUCAAAGAAAACUUGCCCUUAAUUUUUAACAUUUAAGAAUCUGCUGGCUUUGCUGUUCUGUGGUUAGCUGAUUGUCUGUGUUUGCAUGCAGGAAUCUUUGUUCUUGUGCUGUGUCUCGGGAAUGCCAUGAGCAGUUGUUUUUGUUUGUUUGUACUCGGGUGGAGCUAACUGUCUAAUUGGGUAAAUAUUUGCAAUGCUAUAUUUGCAUGCACGGAAGACAAAGAGGGCUGGACUCCUGUUGACAUAAAGGGCCUUUUACACCAGGCCAACAAUGUAAAGGCUUAAAUAAAAUCGAUGGACUAUUUUCCAAUAUGAUUACGGCAAUGAAGACGUUACUCACUCUGCCUUACUCACUGAUUGCAAGUUCAAAACUGCUGGACUUCCACUGGGUAUUAGCUCUGUUAAAAAAAUGGUAUUUAUUUACCAGAGUGCCUUUGGAUAUAAGAGGUCCACAGUUCCAAGGAAUAGAUUUUCAACAUAAAAUUACACACCAAGAGCAAAUACAACAAACCCUAAUAUCAGUAUCAGUGUCACUAGUGACCUAGUCUGCUGAUCAUAAACUGAAUGGAGAGUCUGAAGUCAUUUGUCUGUGGCUUCAAUGGGGAAAUCAAUUCUCAGUUAUCUACGCAUGGCUUGUCUGGCUGAGGAUUAACCAGGCUGGGGAUGCACUGACCUCAGUUCAUUCACCACCUGCAAGGCUGACUUUGGCCCAGCAGUCUGUAUUGAUCCCAGCAGUGCUGUGUGCACAUCUGUCAGUUCCACAGCUGCCUCCAGCUCAUCAGCACAUGAUCUGUGUCACUCAGAGCUGUGUGGAGGCCUCUCCACAGCCCCUGCCAGGUGGGGCCAGCUGUCCUGGCCAGCUCCUGCAGAUACAACACCUCUUUCCACACUGACUCGGCAUAAACUGACUUUGUUGAUGCUCUGGGAUUGAUGCUGGCAGCCCCUCAGCUGUCAGAAGCUGAGGAAACAAUCUUCUUGGCUCCUUAGACCACCAGCAGAGGAGAGAUUUCCAACUUUAAAUAAACUAGUUUGUUACAAGUUAAAUUUAGUUAAUAUAGAACUGGGGGAGAUUGAUGCACUGUGUUGUAGGCGUGGUAGCUCUUCCCAAAACCUGGUCAUGGCUACAGCUCUAUCUUGUUCCAUGUGCUUCUCAGCAAAGUGGUUUUCCUGUUCACCUUCAGCAGCAGGAAUGGACUGCUUGAACUUGUAUUUACUUUAAAUAAUUAGAAUGCGGUGAGUUUAGGUCUUAAUGCAGGUCAUCAGUUAAAUUUUAAAUGUUUAGGUGCUUAAAUAAUAGACUCUGUGUUAAAGUGAUAUAAACAAAAAGUAUCUAAUCUGUUUUGUUUAAUUGGAAAAAAAAUUGCAGAUUUGUAUUUGCCUUGUUAUCUCUAUCUUUUAUUAUUCCAAAGAGGCUCUGAAUAGAGAUGUUAUCUCAGCUUUAGCUGUGCUCUUGCAAUGUUGCAAUUCGUCAAACCAGUAAUUUAUGUUUCAGUUGAAAGGAGGUGAGAAAUAAUUAACUCAUGUAUUGCAUCCUUGUCUUUGCAGGCCUUUCAUUUUCAGUGAGUACUUGCACUAGCAGUCUUUAUUUUUUAAAUUCCAGACUCUUCAAAACUCCUGGGCUUCCUCAGGAAGGCCAGGACUCUCAGCAGUCCACCUGAGUGCUUGAUGCCUUGCAGAAUUAAGUCCCAGGAGCCCAGUCCUGAACUGAAAUCAUUGGUCAUGUUCACAUUGACUUCAGUCUAGCAACUGGAAUCCUGGGGUAGCAGGAUUAUUUGUCCCAUUGAAUUACUGGCCCUGGUUCUCAGGAUAUUUCCUCACUCUGCCACUGACACCCACAAGUUGUUUACUUGCCCGUGUGUGCUUCUGGCAGCCUGUAUUCCUGGAUGACCUAUUUUUGCAGGAAUCAAAUGCCCGUGGCAGCAGUGUUUUAUUGGCCCUUGCUGGGCUGACACCACUGCAGUGAGAGUGCUCAUGGUCAGUGACACUGCAAAUCCUGGCUGAGCAAACUGACUUCUGCCAGCUUUGCAGCAGCUUUUAUGUCAAUCCCUUACUAGCAGGAGAGGAUGGGCUCAUAAAGACGUGUUUUCCAUGGACAGAACCAGCUCCAAGGCUAACUAGUGAGCACGGUGUGGUGACAGGAAUGAGGAGUUUCUGUGCAGAGCACACUCAUGAAGGAACCCUCCUCUUGUCCUACUGACCUGGUACUGAAUCAUAUAUAACUCAUGGUUUCCUCUGUAGUUUCAUCUUCCUCAGCUAAAAAUUUUAAGGGUGUGACAGAUCAGCAGAGGUCAGGUGAGACUGGAUGGAUGGAAGGGGAGGAGUUGCUCUCAUUUAGAUUUAUUUUUUUUUUUCCGUAACAAAGUUGGUCACACCUCUAAUAGCCAGACUCAGCUGUGUUUUCAGGUAAUCUUAAUAACAGGUUGCUAGGGUGCUUAGUUUGUUCAAUCCAUUCAGUAAUUAGAGCUGGUGCUGAAGUCGUAAAACUGAGUAUGGAGUGAGAUCUUAAUGAACACAGUAAUUUGCUGUAAGUACAGCCCUGUAGAGCUUCCUCAUAAAUGGCUUCUCCUUGGAUGGAGCAGUGCAGUCACCAAACAGGGCAAGUCCAUGUGGCAGCUGAGGACAAAAGCUGAGGAUCAGUCCAGCAGCACAGGAAAUGAAAUGAAAUGAAAGCUAGCAACACUCCAGGUGGAUUAGUUAUUUUUCAGAGUCUCAAAGUGCUGAGAACUCUGUGUUUUUAUUCAGUGUUCAGGCUGAUACUUCCAGCAAUAUACACAUGCUGAGGCAAUGUAUUUAAUGACUCAGGGGAAGAAGCUGUCUACUGAAUCACCAGUAUCCAAACCUGAAGAACCCAACAGCUUUCUGUAAAUCUGAAUAUAAUUAAGCAUAGUCUUGUUCUUUUCAUUAGGCAUGAAAUAACCAGAGAUUAUGAGAUUCCAUUUACAUAACAGUAAAAAAAAUAUAAAAAAUUACUUGUUUUAGUUUUCUACCCCAGAAUCUGGAACCUACAAUCUAAUGCAGUGUGUUGUUUAUGAGGACUGAGAAAAGGAUAAAACAGCUAGAAGAAACAUACAUCCUAAAUAUGAAAACAACAUUUCUGCUCAUGAAAUUCCUAAACCAGACGUUGUUAGAAGCUGGGAAAAUAUUCUAGAGGGCAAACCAAGCAAUCUUGUGUGGUUCUUAACCCACUGCAGUAGUAGGAACUUUGAUUUGAUCUAGGGUGGCUGUCGUCAGCACUCACCAUGUGCUCUGAACACCACAAGCAGUUGCAUCAGAUUAGAAGAACAGACAGUGGCUGUCCCAGACUGUCCCAAAAAUAUAGCAAGUCACUGGAAAUCCUGUUUUCCUGGCUGUACUCAAAACACGUCUGUUUCUGGUCAGUGAAGACGCAAGCACUGUUCCUGGUCUGAACAGAACCACAGCCUGCUCCCAGGGAUGCUGGUGAAGAUUAGCAGUGAACUGGGACUCUUACCCAAACAUCUUAGCCAUUAUGGUUGUCUUUGUGCUCUAUAAAUCAGAUGCAUGUGAACAAACACCCUACUGAGAGGGUAUUUCUGUAAGA